GACGACGCUGGCGGCGUGCUUAAAACAUGCAAGUCGAACGGACUUCUCAUGAAGCUUGCGAUUGAGAAGUUAGUGGCGGACGGGUGAGUAACGCGUGGGCAACCUGCCCCUGAGCCCGGGAUAACAGUUCGAAAGGACUGCUAAGACCGGAUAUACUUGCGGGGAAGCAUUCACUGCAAGGAAAGGGAACGCUCAGGGAUGGGCCCGCGUCCCAUUAGCUAGUUGGUGAGGUAACGGCCCACCAAGGCGACGAUGGGUAGCCGGCCUGAGAGGGUGAACGGCCACACUGGGACUGAGACACGGCCCAGACUCCUACGGGAGGCAGCAGUUGGGAAUCUUCGGCAAUGGGCGCAAGCCUGACCGAGCAACGCCGCGUGAGUGAUGAAGGUUUUCGGAUUGUAAAGCUCUGUCUUCCGGGACGAUAAUGACGGUACCGGAGGAGGAAGCCACGGCUAACUACGUG
rnacentral:rRNA from 1 species